GACGAACGCUGGCGGCGUGCUUAACACAUGCAAGUCGAACGGAAAGGCCCUGCUUUUGUGGGGUGCUUGAGUGGCGAACGGGUGAGUAACACGUGAGUAACCUGCCCUUGAAUUUGGGAUAACUCCAGGAAACUGGGGCUAAUACCGGAUAGGAGCUCCUGCUGCAUGGUGGUGGUUGGAAAGUUUCGGCGGUUGGGGAUGGACUCGCGGCUUCUCAGCUUGUUGGGGGGGUAGUGACUUACCAAGUCUUUGACGGGUAGCCGGCCUGAGAGGGUGACCGGCCUCAAUGGUACUGCGAGACGGCCCAGACGCGAACGUUAGGCAGCAGUGGGAAAUAUGACACAAUGAGCGGAAGCCAGAUGCAGCAGCGCCGCGUUCGGGAUGACGUCCUUCUGGGUGUAAACCUCUGUCUCCUGUGACGAAGCGUGAGUGACGGUAAUUGAUAAAGAAGCACCGGCUAACUACGUG
rnacentral:rRNA from 1 species